GAGGGGUCCAGGGUGUGGGAAACGGGGAGGGGUUUGAGGAGGGGAUCGGAAUGUGGCUCAAGUUCGGGAGGCGUUACCUGCGGAGGGUUUGAGGCAGGCCCAGGAGCGAGCCCAUGGUCUUCCGACGCGGGGCCAGGGGCGGGGCCCAGGAUCCGGAGCUUCGUGCGGGGCCGAGUCCAGGUUUGGGGCCCGGGAGGCGGGGCCAGUUAGGGCGAGGGUCCCUGGGAUCGUCGGGUCAGGCCUUGGGCUAACGUAGGCACUCUCGCAGUUCCUCCGCCUUCAGGAAGGUCUUUUCAGCAGGGGCCUUACGGGUGCAUGCUUCGGUCCUGGAGGCCUUAUCCUAGCCUCCUCUCCAUCAGCGCCACCCGUCUGGGGCCCGAAAGGAGGGAGCUUUCCCUCUGUCCCCCAGCCUUUGGACUGUCACUAAACAAGCCAUUCGUUCAUCAAAUACUUUUUAAGCGCCUACCAUGUGCCUGACAAGGGAGAUGUAACGGUGAGAAAAACUAGGUGUGGUCCAGGCCCUUCAGGGGCUCAGGUGCUCGUGGAAGAAGUGGACAUUGAAGUACUUAUCACACAAAUGAGGAUAAAAGUACGAUAACGAUAUCUACCACGAAGACCAACAGGUAUUCUACCAUAUAAGAAAUAUGAUGUUCUCUGUACAUUGAAGAGUUGGUCUAAUAUUUGGCCUGGUGGAUGGAGAAAUUGCCUGUCUGCUCCGCUCUGGUUGAAGAAACCAGUCUGACUGUCUCUGAGGCUAUGGAGCAGUCCAUGAAGAAUGAAAGCCCUUGGCCAGGCACAUUGGCUCACACCUGUAAUACCAGCGCUUUGGGAGGCCGAGGCAGGUGGAUCACUUGAAGUCACGAGUUUGACACCAGCAUGGCCAACAUGGUGAAACGCUGUCUCUACAGAAAAUAGAAAAAUUAGCUGGGCCUGGUGACACGUGCCUGUAAUCCCAGCUACUCAGGAGGCUGAGGCAGGAGAAUCACUUGAACCUGGGAGGCAGAGGUUGCAGUGGGGAGCUGAGAUCACACCACUGCAUUCCAGCCUGGGCGACAGAGCGAGACUCUCUCAAAAAAAAAAAAAAAAAAGAAUGAAUGUCCUCAUGAUGGCCUCAAGCACAUUGGUCCCUGAAGAGAGCCAAGGAAGGCCCACUUUACUCUGCACUGCAAAGCAGGCAGGUGGACAGGAUGAGAAGUGGAUUCAGUGACAGGCAUUGACCCAAAGGAUUUUCUGCCUAAUGGUCGGUUCAGCAGAAGAUUAAACUGAGCACAGCAUCCUGUUCCCUCAAACUGUCUGGUUGGUCAGUGGGGAAUGUUCUUGUCUCGUUAAAUGUCCUCAUGCUACUGUCAAGAUAUCCUGUUACAAAACAUCAUAAACCAGGUUUACAAAUAGGCCAGGUGACUGUGGAAUUUCUCCUUGGCAAGGCCUUAGCUAUGGGCAUGCGAUUGGUGUGCAGUAAUCACAGUGUUCCGGGCCACUUGAGGGAUAAAAUAUACCUUAGGUGAUAAACUGUUGUAUUUUAAUGUGAAUAUUUCCACCAACACUAAACAGUAACCCCAUGAGUUUUCUCAUACCUGUUACACUGUGGAGUUGCAACAAGCUAACAAGCAAGUUGCAAACAGAAUUAUCGCAUUUGGCUCUUAUUCACAGCCAGGGUUCUUCAAGCUGUACCUGGGACAGUCUUCCCUCACAUGAGGUUUAUAGCAUCAUUUAUUUCAUUAUUUAUUUAUUUUUUGAGACGGAGUUUCGCUCUGU
rnacentral:lncRNA from 1 species